rnacentral:rRNA from 1 species
AACGAACGCUGGCGGCGGGCUUAACACAUGCAAGUCGAGCGCCCCGCAAGGGGAGCGGCAGACGGGUGAGUAACGCGUGGGAAUCUACCCAUCCCUACGGAACAGCUCCGGGAAACUGGAAUUAAUACCGUAUACGCCCUACGGGGGAAAGAUUUAUCGGGGAUGGAUGAGCCCGCGUUGGAUUAGCUAGUUGGUGGGGUAAAGGCCUACCAAGGCGACGAUCCAUAGCUGGUCUGAGAGGAUGAUCAGCCACAUUGGGACUGAGACACGGCCCAAACUCCUACGGGAGGCAGCAGUGGGGAAUAUUGGACAAUGGGGGCAACCCUGAUCCAGCCAUGCCGCGUGAGUGAUGAAGGCCUUAGGGUUGUAAAGCUCUUUCACCGGGGAAGAUAAUGACGGUACCCGGAGAAGAGGCCCCGGCUAACUUCGUGCCAGCCGCCGCCGUAA